GCCAUUUUUUAUAAGCUUCGGUGGUAGAAUGCUCGCCUGCCACGCGGGCAGCCCGGGUUCGAUUCCCGGCCGAUGCA
rnacentral:tRNA from 1 species